UACGUAGGGGGCAAGCGUUAUCCGGAAUUAUUGGGCGUAAAGCGCGCGCAGGCGGUCGGUUAAGUCAGGUGUGAAAGGCUGCGGCUCAACCGCAGAGCGGCAUCUGAAACUGGUCGACUUGAGUGCAGGAGAGGGGAGCGGAAUUCCCGGUGUAGCGGUGGAAUGCGUAGAGAUCGGGAGGAACACCAAUGGCGAAGGCAGAUCUCUGGGCCGUUACUGACGCUGAGGAGCGAAAGCAUGGGGAGCGAACAGG
rnacentral:rRNA from 1 species